rnacentral:rRNA from 1 species
GACAGAGGGUGCAAACGUUGUUCGGAAUUACUGGGCGUAAAGCGCGUGUAGGCGGCUUGGUAAGUCCGGUGUGAAACCUUGGGGCUCAACCCCAAGCCUGCACUGGAUACUGCCUCGCUUGAGUCCGGGAGGGGAGAGCGGAAUUCCUAGUGUAGCGGUGAAAUGCGCAGAUAUUAGGAAGAACACCGGUGGCGAAGGCGGCUCUCUGGAACGGUACUGACGCUGAGACGCGAAAGCGUGGGGAGCGAACAGG